GAUGAACGCUGGCGGCGUGCCUAAUACAUGCAAGUCGAGCGAACAGACGAGGAGCUUGCUCCUCUGACGUUAGCGGCGGACGGGUGAGUAACACGUGGAUAACCUACCUAUAAGACUGGGAUAACUUCGGGAAACCGGAGCUAAUACCGGAUAAUAUAUUGAACCGCAUGGUUCAAUAGUGAAAGACGGUUUUGCUGUCACUUAUAGAUGGAUCCGCGCCGCAUUAGCUAGUUGGUAAGGUAACGGCUUACCAAGGCAACGAUGCGUAGCCGACCUGAGAGGGUGGUCGGCCACACUGGAACUGAGACACGGUCCAGACUCCUACGGGAGGCAGCAGUAGGGAAUCUUCCGCAAUGGGCGAAAGCCUGACGGAGCAACGCCGCGUGAGUGAUGAAGGUCUUCGGAUCGUAAAACUCUGUUAUUAGGGAAGAACAGAUGUGUAAGUAACUAUGCACGUCUUGACGGUACCUAAUCAGAAAGCCACGGCUAACUACGUG
rnacentral:rRNA from 1 species